rnacentral:rRNA from 1 species
GAGUUUGAUCAUGGCUCAGGACGAACGCUGGCGGCGUGCUUAACACAUGCAAGUCGAACGGAAAGGCCCUUCGGGGUACUCGAGUGGCGAACGGGUGAGUAACACGUGGGUGAUCUGCCUCGUACUUUGGGAUAAGCCUGGGAAACUGGGUCUAAUACCGGAUAUGACCUUGAGAUGCAUGUCUCUUGGUGGAAACUUUUUGGGUACGAGAUGGGCCCGCGGCCUAUCAGCUUGUUGGUGGGGUAAUGGCCUACCAAGGCGACGACGGGUAGCCGGCCUGAGAGGGCGACCGGCCACACUGGGACUGAGACACGGCCCAGACUCCUACGGGAGGCAGCAGUGGGGAAUAUUGCACAAUGGGCGGAAGCCUGAUGCAGCGACGCCGCGUGAGGGAUGACGGCCUUCGGGUUGUAAACCUCUUUCACCAGGGACGAAGAGAAAUUGACGGUACCUGGAGAAGAAGCACCGGCCAACUACGUGCCAGCAGCCGCGGUAAUACG